rnacentral:tRNA from 1 species
AAAAUUUUAAGUUAAUAAAACUUUAAACCUUCAAAGUUUAAUAUAAAUAAUUAAAUAUUUAAAUUUUA